rnacentral:rRNA from 1 species
AUUGAACGCUGGCGGCAUGCCUUACACAUGCAAGUCGAACGGCAGCACGGGAGCAAUCCUGGUGGCGAGUGGCGAACGGGUGAGUAAUAUAUCGGAACGUGCCCAGUAGUGGGGGAUAACUGCUCGAAAGAGCAGCUAAUACCGCAUACGACCUGAGGGUGAAAGGGGGGGAUCGCAAGACCUCUCGCUAUUGGAGCGGCCGAUAUCAGAUUAGCUAGUUGGUGGGGUAAAGGCCUACCAAGGCAACGAUCUGUAGUUGGUCUGAGAGGACGACCAGCCACACUGGGACUGAGACACGGCCCAGACUCCUACGGGAGGCAGCAGUGGGGAAUUUUGGACAAUGGGCGCAAGCCUGAUCCAGCAAUGCCGCGUGCAGGAAGAAGGCCUUCGGGUUGUAAACUGCUUUUGUCAGGGAAGAAAUCCUCUAGGUUAACACCCUUGGGGGGAUGACGGUACCUGAAGAAUAAGCACCGGCUAACUACGUGCCAGCCGCCGCAGUAAAAC